rnacentral:rRNA from 1 species
GCUGGGUGGAUUAGUGGCGAACGGGUGAGUAACACGUGAGUAACCUGCCCCUGACUCUGGGAUAAGCGUUGGAAACGACGUCUAAUACUGGAUAUGAUCACUGGCCGCAUGGUCUGGUGGUGGAAAGAUUUUUUGGUUGGGGAUGGACUCGCGGCCUAUCAGCUUGUUGGUGAGGUAAUGGCUCACCAAGGCGACGACGGGUAGCCGGCCUGAGAGGGUGACCGGCCACACUGGGACUGAGACACGGCCCAGACUCCUACGGGAGGCAGCAGUGGGGAAUAUUGCACAAUGGGCGAAAGCCUGAUGCAGCAACGCCGCGUGAGGGAUGACGGCCUUCGGGUUGUAAACCUCUUUUAGUAGGGAAGAAGCGAAAGUGACGGUACCUGCAGAAAAAGCACCGGCUAACUACGUGCCAGCA